rnacentral:lncRNA from 1 species
AUUUUGGGUCAUCCGUUUGGUCUUCAAGUGCAGUGAUGAGGGACCUGCUUGCAUUCCCACCUGCUGGAUGACUAGUGGUGGACCAUGGGGAGAUCUUGUUCCUGCCAUGAGACAUAGCAAGAAAGAUGCAAGUCACAAUCUGAUUAUCAGCAUACGCAGUGGUUCCAUAGUCCAGGAGACAUUCAGGGCUUUUCAGUAUGAAAUGGAACAAGACCACCUUGAUAACACUGGCAUGUUUCACUGGUGCAGAGCCACCCCAUUGGACAAAAUGAUUCUGAAACGAACUGACAAGUCAAAACAUGAGUUUCGGAACCACAUCGUGGCAUGUGUCUUUGGAGAUGCCCAUUCGACCCUGAUGGGGCUUCGGAAUUUUGUAAUGCCACUGAGAGCUAGCAACUACACCCGCAAGGAGCUGAAGGACAUUGUGUUUGUUGGGUCUCUGGAUUACCUGCAGAGAGAAUGGCGAUUCCUCCGGAAUUUCCCCCAGAUAUACUUUCUGCCUGGAUCUGCGCUCUAUUCUGG